GACGAACGCUGGCGGCGUGCUUAACACAUGCAAGUCGAACGGGUCUGCCCUGUUUUUUGCGGGGUGGGUCAGUGGCGAACGGGUGAGUAACCCGUGAGUAACCUGCCCCUCACUUCUGGAUAACCGCUUGAAAGGGUGGCUAAUACGGGGUGUUCUGGCUGUGCCGCAUGGUGUGGCUGGGAAAGAUUCACUUUUGUGGUGUUUUGGUGGGGGAUGGGCUCGCGGCCUAUCAGCUUGUUGGUGGGGUGAUGGCCUGCCAAGGCUUUGACGGGUAGCCGGCCUGAGAGGGUGGGCGGUCACACUGGGACGGAGAUACGGCCCAGACUCAUGCGGGAGGCAGCAGUGGGGGGUAUUGCACAAUGGGCGGAAGCCUGAUGCAGCGACGUCGCGUGAGGGAUGGAGGCCUGCGGGUUGUGAACCUCUUUCGCCGGUGAAGAAGGUCCUGCUCUUUGUGGUGGGGUUGACGGUAGCCGGGUUAUGAAGCGCCGGCUAACUACGUG
rnacentral:rRNA from 1 species